UACGUAGGGUGCGAGCGUUGUCCGGAAUUACUGGGCGUAAAGAGCUCGUAGGUGGUUUGUCGCGUUGUUCGUGAAAACCGGGGGCUUAACCCUCGGCGUGCGGGCGAUACGGGCAGACUAGAGUACAGAAGAGGUAGCUGGAAUUCCUGGUGUAGCGGUGAAAUGCGUAGAUAUCAGGAGGAACACCGGUGGCGAAGGCGGUUCUCUGGGCCUUACCUGACGCUGAGGAGCGAAAGCGUGGGGAGCGAGCAGG
rnacentral:rRNA from 1 species